UUGAAUAACGCAUGUUUACCUUGCGGAACUAGUUUUCGCGUAACAAAAGUGAAAUACAUAUUUUUAACUUAAUAUGAGACUUAUUGGUAUAUAAAUAAGAACUGUACGUAAAAUCAAAGUAGACAGCAAAACGUUUCAUGGCAUUCUAUAGUAAUCCAUAUUUACAAAAACAUGCUUUGGUACAUCACGGCAAUGGAACUUGGAACAAAAUUAAACUUUGAGAAAAAGGUAUUAAAGCAAACAGAAGAAAGUCCAAAAUUGUGACAAAGAAUGUGCAGUUGUGUUGCAAUUGAUGUGCAAUUCUACACCAGCAUUUAUCAGCAAUUGCGAAAGUAGUUUAACAAAUAUAUUGUAUUAUAACAUUAGUUAACAAAUAUAUUGAAAACAAAAUAUAA
rnacentral:lncRNA from 1 species